AAGAGAAGCAAGUAUCCACAGUUACAAAUAGAAUGAUAAUCCAGUAGAGUGAUAGGAACUGAAAAAACAAUAUAUCUACUGGGAGAAACAGCACAAAUCUCAUACAGGUGUGCUUGAAAAUUCUGAAUGUGAAAGUAUUGAAGAUCUCAGAGCUCCAAAUAGCAAGUCUGUCAAGAAGAGGUAACAUCCGAUAUGGAACAUAAUAAUAUGCAUCCUAUGUAAUAAUCU
rnacentral:lncRNA from 1 species